rnacentral:rRNA from 1 species
GCUGACGAGUGGCGAACGGGUGAGUAAUACAUCGGAACGUGCCCGANAGUGGGGGAUAACGAAGCGAAAGCUUUGCUAAUACCGCAUACGAUCUCAGGAUGAAAGCAGGGGACCGCAAGGCCUUGCGCUCACGGAGCGGCCGAUGGCAGAUUAGGUAGUUGGUGGGAUAAAAGCUUACCAAGCCGACGAUCUGUAGCUGGUCUGAGAGGACGACCAGCCACACUGGGACUGAGACACGGCCCAGACUCCUACGGGAGGCAGCAGUGGGGAAUUUUGGACAAUGGGCGCAAGCCUGAUCCAGCCAUGCCGCGUGCAGGAUGAAGGCCUUCGGGUUGUAAACUGCUUUUGUACCGGAACGAAAAGACUCUGGUUAAUACCUGGGGUCCAUGACGGUACCGUAAGAAUAAGCACCGGCUAACUACGUGCCAGCAGCCGCGGUAAUACGUAGGGUGCGAGCGUUAAUCGGAAUUACUGGGCGUAAAGCGUGCGCAGGCGGUUAUAUAAGACAGAUGUGAAAUCCCCGGGCUCAACCUGGGAACUGCAUUUGUGACUGUAUAGCUNGAGUACGGCAGAGGGGGAUGGAAUUCCGCGUGUAGCAGUGAAAUGCGUAGAUAUGCGGAGGAACACCGAUGGCGAAGGCAAUCCCCUGGGCCUGUACUGACGCUCAUGCACGAAAGCGUGGGGAGCAAACAGGAUNAGAUACCCUGGUAGUCCACGCCCUAAACGAUGUNNACUGGUUGUUGGGUCUUCACUGACUNAGUAACGAANCUNACGCGUGAAGUUGACCGNCUGGGGAGUNCGGNCGCAAGGNUGAAACUNNAAGGAAUUGACGGGGACCCNNNCAAGCGGUGGAUGAUGUGNNUNNANUCGAUGCNACGCGAAAAACNUUACCCACCUUUG